rnacentral:rRNA from 1 species
AGAACGAACGCUGGCGGCAGGCUUAACACAUGCAAGUCGAACGCUCCGCAAGGGGGGUGGCAGACGGGUGAGUAACGCGUGGGAACAUACCCCUCGGUUCGGAAUAACUCAGGGAAACUUGAGCUAAUACCGAAUACGGUCGAGAGGCGAAAGAUUUAUCGCCGAGGGAUUGGCCCGCGUCCGAUUAGCUAGUUGGUGAGGUAAUGGCUCACCAAGGCGACGAUCGGUAGCUGGUCUGAGAGGAUGAUCAGCCACAUUGGGACUGAGACACGGCCCAAACUCCUACGGGAGGCAGCAGUGGGGAAUAUUGGACAAUGGGCGAAAGCCUGAUCCAGCCAUGCCGCGUGAGUGAUGACGGCCUUAGGGUUGUAAAGCUCUUUCAUCAGGGACAUAAUGACGGUACCUGAAGAAGAAGCCCCGGCUAACUUCGUGCCAGCAGCCGC